AAUGAUAGGACUAAUUCGGAGCUGGUUUUUCAGCAGAUGUGGAUCCAUUAGAUACCCUGGUAGUCCAUGCCGUAAACGAUGUCUACUAGCCGUUGGGGCCUUUGAGGCUUUAGUGGCGCAGCUAACGCGAUAAGUAGACCGCCUGGGGAGUACGGUCGCAAGACUAAAACUCAAAUGAAUUGACGGGGGCCCGCACAAGCGGUGGAGCAUGUGGUUUAAUUCGAUGCAACGCGAAGAACCUUACCUGGUCUUGACAUAGUAAGAACUUUCCAGAGAUGGAUUGGUGCCUUCGGGAACUUACAUACAGGUGCUGCAUGGCUGUCGUCAGCUCGUGUCGUGAGAUGUUGGGUUAAGUCCCGCAACGAGCGCAACCCUUUUCCUUAUUUGCCAGCACUUCGGGUGGGAACUUUAAGGAUACUGCCAGUGACAAACUGGAGGAAGGCGGGGACGACGUCAAGUCAUCAUGGCCCUUACGACCAGGGCUACACACGUGCUACAAUGGUCGGUACAAAGGGUUGCUACCUAGCGAUAGGAUGCUAAUCUCAAAAAGCCGAUCGUAGUCCGGAUUAGAGUCUGCAACUCGACUCCAUGAAGUCGGA
rnacentral:rRNA from 1 species